rnacentral:rRNA from 1 species
GCGUGAGUGAUGAAGGCCCUAGGGUUGUAAAACUCUUUCGCGCGCGACGAUAAUGACGGUAGCGCGAGAAGAAGCUCCGGCUAACUUCGUGCCAGCAGCCGCGGUAAUACGAAGGGGGCUAGCGUUGUUCGGAAUUACUGGGCGUAAAGCGCGCGUAGGCGGUCGUGCAAGUCAGAGGUGAAAGCCCGGAGCUCAACUCCGGAAUUGCCUUUGAAACUGCUCGGCUUGAGUACGGGAGAGGUGAGUGGAAUUCCGAGUGUAGAGGUGAAAUUCGU